CCGACAAAAUAUCGACAAUAUUAAAAAUUUUUUUUUUUCCAACACAACUAACCCAGGAUCCAAACACACAUUUGAGGUCACUAAGAAAACAUUCAGAUCAAAAAUUUCACUUCUAUAAUCUACCAAUUCAUAACCCUGUGCAAUUCAUAAACAUAGCACACAUCACUCGAUAAUUCAUACAAUCUGAACUCGACUCAUCAAAAUAAAAACCACAAUAUAAAU
rnacentral:lncRNA from 1 species